rnacentral:rRNA from 1 species
GAUGAACGCUGGCGGCGUGCUUAACACAUGCAAGUCGAACGAUGAAGCCCAGCCUGCUGGGCGGAUUAGUGGCGAACGGGUGAGUAACACGUGAGUAACCUGCCCUUGACUCUGGGAUAAGCCCGGGAAACUGGGUCUAAUACCGGAUAGGAGCGCCUGUCGCAUGACGGGUGCUGGAAAGAUUUUUCGGUCAUGGAUGGACUCGCGGCCUAUCAGCUUGUUGGUGAGGUAACGGCUCACCAGGGCGACGACGGGUAGCCGGCCUGAGAGGGUGACCGGCCACACUGGGACUGAGACACGGCCCAGACUCCUACGGGAGGCAGCAGUGGGGAAUAUUGCACAAUGGGCGGAAGCCUGAUGCAGCGACGCCGCGUGAGGGAUGACGGCCUUCGGGUUGUAAACCUCUUUCAGUAGGGAAGAAGCGAAAGUGACGU